GUGGAAGUUUGCCCAUACCUGCUCUAAAAGUAACAGAUCCCAUCUGAUCUUGGAAGCUCGGCAGAACCAGACUGGAUUAGUAUUUAGAAGGGAGACUGCCAACUAAAACCAGGUGCUGUCCACU
rnacentral:rRNA from 11 species